GAAAAAAAACCCUCCCCAUGUUCUAUUAAAGGCAGCAGAAAGACACUAACAACUGAGAGGCUUCAGAUUGAAAGAGAGAACAUGGUGAGCUCUGGUUCAAAAUUUGUGCUGGUUCUUGCCCUCGUUGCCGCAUUCACUGUUGAUCUUGAAGGAAGAGUGUAUCAGCCUCAGAGUUUGCCGGUCGUCGGUGAUGGGCUCCCGGCUCUAGGCGGCCUUCCUGCUGUAGGAGGAGGGCUGCCGGCUGUAAGCGGAGGGCUCCCAGCUGUAGGCGGUCUUCCUGCUGUAGGAGGGCUCCCUGCUGUUGGUGGUCUUCCUGCUGUAGGUUUAGGGCUCCCUGCUGUGAGCGGAGGGCUCCCUGCUGUAGGCGGUCUUCCUGCUGUAGGAGGGCUCCCUGCUGUUGGUGGUCUUCCUGCUGUAGGUUUAGGGCUCCCUGCUGUGAGCGGAGGGCUCCCUGCUGUAGGCGGUCUUCCUGCUGUAGGAGGGCUCCCUGCUGUUGGUGGUCUUCCUGCUGUAGGUUUAGGGCUCCCUGCUGUGAGCGGAGGGCUCCCUGCUGUAGGCGCUCUUCCUGCUGUUGGAGGACUUCCCGGUGUAGGAGGGAUAGUCCCCGGUGUCAAGCCAUGAAGGAAUGUAAGAGAAUGGCUUCUACGACGAAGCUGAUUCGCUUGGCAUAGCGAAUGUUAUAUUGCUGUAGUAUGUUGAUUCUCUCUCAUCUAGUGGCCACAUUGCUGAUUUUCGGAUACGCAGGGGGUGAACUGAGAUGGGAUAAAUAAGAUGGGGAAUGGGGUGUAGAAGUUUGGUUCUUUGUUUAUUAUAUGCCGUGUCAAGUAUGGAG
rnacentral:misc_RNA from 1 species